rnacentral:lncRNA from 1 species
AGUAACAGGUGGAGGUUGUGCAUGUGUGUGCAUGUGUGCACGGGUGUGAGUGUGCUCGUGUGCGGGUGUGAACCACCUCUACAAUUUUGAGAAAGACCUUCCCAGAUCCCUGAGUGCAUAUUCAUUGGAAGGCCAUGGUGCCAGACUCAGGCUAGGCUCAGCAGCUGCUUGUUCUGCCAGGACAGCCAGGGAAGUGACGCCACGUGCACAUGAGCUUUUGCUGCAGGAAGUGUGGGUCACUGGGGCCAUGGUUUGCGUGUGAUCGCUGACCAGCCAGUCACAGGUAGCCUGUGUGUGUUCUUAGGAGGGUAACAAUGCUGGAUCUUGAAUCCUUGCUGUGUCAAAUCUAGGGAGGACAUCUGAAAUGAUGGGCCUAGAAACAACAAGGAUUGGCCCGGGAGCAAGACAGUGGAGAUGGGAGGCAGAGUUAGCUAGGGGCCAAAGGAAGCUUUUCUACAGGCCCCUGUCAGGACUGGUGAGGGAGGAGGCUAGCACAGGGGGUUGUGCUGAGUAAGGGCUAUGUGUGUGCAUACCUGUGUUUACAUAUGUGUGUGCAUGUAUGUGGUUAUAUAUGAUUUGUAGUAUAGAUACACAUAUAUGGAUGUGCACGUGUAUGUGUAUAGGUGUGUGCUGUGGUUGUGCAUGGGUGUCCAUGGAUGUGUUCAUGUGUGGGCAUGUGUGACACCAGUGCCAUUGUGUGAAUAAAGAGGUGUGCAUAUGUGUGUAUGCCUAUCAUGUGUGCAUGUGUGGUUGAGUGCAUGAGUGUGCAUACAUGUAUGCAAAUGCAUGUAGUUAUAUGUGGUGGUGUGAGAGCAUGUGUAUACAUGCAUGUGGAUGUGUGGUGUGUACAUUUGUAGCUGUGUGAGUGUACAGUGUGCUUGUGUGCAGCACUCGGCUGAAGUUGCCUUACCUACCUGUUCUGCUGUCAUAGCAAGAGAUGCCUGCUGCCUACCACCAGGGCUGGGGGCAGAGGAGCCUUUAUUUCCCAGACCUUCCACGGUGAUUAAGUCUCCAAACUUUUCCUUAACCAUCAUAUCUUCAAAAUGAAAAACCAAAUUGCAUCUCCGAGAGCUUGGAAAUCGAUUUCUUUCAAAAUGAACUUUGGGCGAAACGAUUCCAAAGAGAAAUGAGAGAAGGAAGGUAGGAGGGGGAUGGGGAAGGGACAGAGGGCUUGGUUGGGGGCGGCCAGGGCAGGGCAGGGACUGGUCUUUCUUGAAGAUGGGGGAGGCAUCGGGAGUGCUCUGGAAGAGGCAUAGUGACCGCGUAGCCACAGUGGAUGCAGAGGUGAUGAAGGACUCAGGGAGACAAGGGCCGUUAGAAGUGAGCUCUCAGAAGGACUUCCCGCAUCCGGAGUGUGUCUUCCUCUUGUUCCUGUGUGCUUUCAACAUUUCCAUGGUCCUGAAGAGCAUGUGUGUGUGUGUGUGGGGGGGGGGAGUGUUGUGGAGGGGGUUGUCUUGGUCACUGCUGUAUUGAUGUAUUGUAGGAGUUGAAUACUCUCAGCCUGGUCAGGUGGGUGGUCCAUGCUGCUGGCCCCUCCCUCACUGUUCCACCACCCUGCCAAUGCUGCUGCUGCUGCAGACAGCCCUAGAAAUAGGUUGGCGAGGAAAAGGCCAGGGUGGGUUGGGAAGGACUUGGGAGUCUAGGACAGCUGGGAGUGGG